rnacentral:rRNA from 1 species
GAUGAACGCUGGCGGCGUGCCUAAUACAUGCAAGUCGAGCGAACAGACGAGGAGCUUGCUCCUCUGACGUUAGCGGCGGACGGGUGAGUAACACGUGGAUAACCUACCUAUAAGACUGGGAUGACUUCGGGAAACCGGAGCUAAUACCGGAUAAUAUAUUGAACCGCAUGGUUCAAUAGUGAAAGACGGUUUUGCUGUCACUUAUAGAUGGAUCCGCGCCGCAUUAGCUAGUUGGUAAGGUAACGGCUUACCAAGGCAACGAUGCGUAGCCGACCUGAGAGGGUGAUCGGCCACCCUGGAACUGAGACACGGUCCAGACUCCUACGGGAGGCAGCAGUAGGGAAUCUUCCGCAAUGGGCGAAAGCCUGACGGAGCAACGCCGCGUGAGUGAUGAAGGUCUUCGGAUCGUAAAACUCUGUUAUUAGGGAAGAACAAAUGUGUAAGUAACUAUGCACGUCUUGACGGUACCUGAUCAGAAAGCCACGGCUAACUACGUG